rnacentral:rRNA from 1 species
CCUACGGGAGGCAGCAGUGAGGAAUAGUGGUCAAUGGCCGUAAGGCUGAACCAGCCAAGUCGCGUGAAGGAAGAAGGAUCUAUGGGUUGUAAACUUCUUUUAUAGGGGAAUAAAGGUAGCCACGUGUGGAUAUUUGCAUGUACCCUAUGAAUAAGCAUCGGCUAACGCCGUGCCAGCAGCCGCGGUAAUACGGAGGAUGCGAGCGUUAUCCGGAUUUAUUGGGUUUACAGGGGGCGUAGGUUGUUUUUUAAGUCAGCGGUGAAAGUUUGUGGCUCAACCAUAAAAGUGCCGUUGAAACUGGCAGCCUUGCGUGUGUUUGCGGUAGGCGGCAUGC